UACGUAGGGGGCAAGCGUUGUCCGGAUUUAUUGGGCGUAAAGAGCGUGUAGGCGGCUAGGUAGGUCCGUUGUGAAAACUCGAGGCUCAACCUCGAGACGCCGAUGGAAACCGACUGGCUAGAGUCCGGAAGAGGAGAGUGGAAUUCCCGGUGUAGCGGUGAAAUGCGCAGAUAUCGGGAAGAACACCCGUGGCUAAGGCGGCUCUCUAGUACGGUACUGACGCUGAGACGCGAAAAGCGUGGGGAGCGAACAGG
rnacentral:rRNA from 1 species